rnacentral:rRNA from 1 species
GCGACCGGCGCACGGGUGAGUAACGCGUAUGCAACCUGCCUGCAACAGGGGGAUAACCCGGAGAAAUCCGGACUAAUACCGCAUAAUACAAGAUAUCCGCCUGGAUUUUUGUUAAAGAUUUAUCGGUUGCAGAUGGGCAUGCGUUCCAUUAGUUAGUUGGGGAGGUAACGGCUCACCAAGACGUCGAUGGAUAGGGGAACUGAGAGGUUUAUCCCCCACACUGGAACUGAGACACGGACCAG